rnacentral:rRNA from 1 species
AUGGAUCAUCCGACACCGGAUGCCCAGUCGGGAACCAGCGGGUGUGGUGGCACCGCUAGGGUUCCUGAUCUGGGGGAUUUUCUUGAGCAACUCAACCUAGAAGAUGAAGUUUUCGAUGAUCUUGUGAUUGAUGAGGAUGAUCAUGUGAUCAAUGAGAGUGUGAGAUGGUUGGCCCUUGCAAGGGUGCACAUGGAGAAACCGUUCAACCAUACUGCCUUCUACAAGGACAUGCGGGCGGCGUGGAAUCCGGCGCAACCAGUUAGGUUUCGGCCGGUCGGCCCGAAGCUGUUUGUGGUGCAGGCGGCGUGCUUAGGAGACUGGGAACGGAUGCUGGAGCAGGGUCCUUGGCUUUUCAGAAACAUGCUGGUGUUAUUAUGCCCAUACGAUGGAUUCACCAAAGCUGAAGAGGUGCCCAUGGUGUUCAUGCCGAUCUGGCUCCAAAUCCAUAAGAUACCGGAUGGCUUUUGCAAGAAGAACAUUGUUGAGCAUCUGCUAAGAAACUCAGGUGAUAUUUUGGAGAUGAGGCUGAACGGGAACACCCGUGGUGACUAUAUCAGAAUUAGGGUUCGCCAUGAUAUCCGGCUACCACUAACUAAGUUUGUAAGCAUUGUGAGAGGUAAGGAAUGCCAGGUUUUCUUGGUGAGAUAUGAGAAAUUGGCACAUUUCUGUAGUGUUUGUGGUCUUAUUGGCCAUGACUGCAAAGAAUGUGGUUCUGGAGUACAUGAGGAGAAGGACAAGAAGUUUGGGGCCUGGCUGUAUGCAGAUGGUCUGAAUAAGUCUCAGUACAAUGAUGCUGGUGGACGGGAUGGGGGCCUCAGGAAUCCUACAUCUCAGCCUCAACAGAAGAGAUCUCCAAGGAAGGAUGUGGUCGACCCGGAGGUAUUGGAUACAGCCUCGAGCCCACCAAAAACUGGUCGGCAACAUAUGCAUGUGGAUCCAACAGCUAGGAAAAGGCUGAACAUGGAGGGACAGGUCCAGGCCACGGGAUCAGUGGAGAACACAGCUAAGAGGGGAGUGUUGCUGGCCCUCACCCAAGGCAACGGGGAGUAUGGUGAGGACGCCUCGCCUUCUAGCAGCACCAACAGCAAGAGAGCUCGCAUUGACUCGGAUGGUAUCUCAGGUGAUAGAUCGGCGGCCUCCCUAGAGGAGGACCACCGGACACAAUUAAUAUAUUAG